rnacentral:rRNA from 1 species
GACGAACGCUGGCGGCGUGCUUAACACAUGCAAGUCGAACGGAAAGGCCUGCUUUCCCUUGUGGAUUGCGGGUACUCGAGUGGCGAACGGGUGAGUAACACGUGAGUGAUCUGCCCCCAACUUGGGUAUAAGCCUGGGAAACUGGGUCUAAUUCCCGAUAGGACUGCAGGGUGGUGCCUGUGGUGGAAAACGAUUUUCUAGUGGUUGGGGAUGAGCUCGCGGCCUAUCAGCUUGUUGGUGGGGUAAUGGCCUACCACGGCGGCGACGGGUAGCCGGCCUGAGAGGGUCGACGGCCACAUUGGGACUGAGAUAAGGCCCCGACGCCUACGGGAGGCAGCAGUGGGGAAUAGUGCACAAUGGGCGGAAGCCUGAUGCAGCGACGCCGCGUGGAGGAUGACGGCCUUCGAGUUGUAAGCUCCUUGCGACCGCGAGGAAGCCACCUGGUUGGAAGGGUGGUGACGGUAGUGGUAGAAGAAGCACCGGCUAACUACGUG